AGUUACUGCAAAAAUCAAGAUAUAUCUUCAAAUGGGCUCUUCCUGCAUAUACUCAUUGAUCAAACUGACAGCUUCUAUUCAGUUGCUCCUACAACAGUGAGAAGAAUUACAGAUAAUUCCUGACCUUGACUAUAUGGACUUCAGAAGUUAAUCUCUGCUGGCAUCAUUUCCCAAGGAAUAUUGCCACCAUCAGUUCCAAUGUGAUACAUAUUUGUAUAAAGAAGAUAGUUCCAACUGCUUAGAAGAACACCAAACAUUGAGUAUGGGGAAGAGAGGGAGAAUCAUUGUCCCCAGUCCAGAGUAUGAAAGACAGCCCACAGUCCGACAGGAGACCGUGAUGUUCUUCAACGAACAGAGCUGUGCACCUGGAGUCCAGCAAGCAAAAAACAGAAGAUGCAGGAGGGUCAGGGCGACUGGAACCGGCCAUGCAAAGACUUAUAACACUUGGACAGUUGCCUGGAUUUAAUUCUAUGGUUUUAUUUAGGAAUGCAUAAUCUGAUAUUUGCCUAUAGAAGAUCACUCUUUCUGCUGUGUAAAGAACGGACCAUAGCCAAUUGAGACUGAAAGCAAGAAACCCAGGGAGGAGGAUGUUACUGUGGCCUAGGCAAAACAUGUAGUGACUAGACCUGAGAAGGGUGGUCCUGGAGGUGGCAAGUUCAGUGUGGAAGAUAGGGCUAACAGCCUGGCUGAUGGGUUGGGAGGAAUUAAGGAUGCUUUCAAGGGUCUGGGCUAGAACAAGUGUAUGCAUCCCUCUCUGGGCAACAUUGUCGUCUAGGGAAAAUUACAUGAUCAUGAGAAGUGCCGCAAAAGAUAAAAGCUACAACCUUCAAAUAAAAGCUAUAAUUCUAUUCUUUAAA